AUACGUAGAUCCCGAGCAUCUCUGUGGAAAUAACCUCUCCUGAGCCUGAGCUUCACCGACCCUUGCAAUGGCCAUUUGGUGUUUUCUUUGUUGUCGCUCCCAUCCAUUUCCAGUAAGACCUCCAGGUUUACUUCCGGUGAAUGACCGCUGGCCACUGGGGUUGCUCUUGGCCUAACUGUCAAUCAAGGUGCUCGGGCAAUGGGUGGGGCAGUGACUCAAUUUCAGCCAAUGAGAUUCUCCUAUUGUUUGAUACCACCCCUCUCUCUCCUGGCCAAUGGGUGGGCAUGUGUCCGGGGCUCAGCCAUUCACGUUUACUCUCUCACGACGUACAAUGGCCGGAGCUGGAUUCGAGUCUUAGGGGACUUUGUACAGGCCCCUGCCCCUCCAGGUCCCUCUUCCCUGCCCUUUUGAGCCCAGUUCUUUGUCUUUUCCUUUGAUUCUGAGAGCCACCCGACACCUUUCCAGACAGUUCUCCUCCGUGUUUACACCAGCCAGGGUUGGCCUCUGUUGCUUGUCACUGAAGAACCCUGACAGGUCUAAGCUGGCUCCCUCGGGUAUUAAAGGAGCCAGGUGGAACCAAGAGCGAACAUCCUUCAGUUAUCCAUGACAGAAGAAGGGAGGACAGCCCGCCAUCCCCAGUCUCCCCCAUCCUGCGGAGCCGGACUGAUCCAGCAUGAGCAGGGGUGAAGAAACACGAUUUGGACAUGCGCCCGUCCCUGAACCAGCUCUAGCAUCUAGAAAGAUGUGAUGCUCAGAUUGGUCAGAGCGAGUCACAUGAUCAGAGUUAGUUAGCCCCAUGGACAGAAUGUGUGAUGCAUGGUUCCUGGAAGCAAUACCGGAUGCUGUUUCCAGAAGAACAGGAUGUUGGCCACGUGCCUCACCGCCCGAGCCUCGAUACGGGGCGGAGGAGGCUCCUGGCUCUUUCGGACACGAUUAGAGCAGGAACCUCAUUUGGCUCCGGAGGGGGCAGGCAGAGCCCCGACGACAGGAACCAGUAGCUGUGGCUGUGUUCUUUUCCUUCUCCCACCUGACCGAGCCUUGCAAGCAGUGUUUCCAGAUCCGGAGGGAAGGACACAGUGAGAGGCGACUGCAAGCCAGCAAGAAAAGGCUCCACCCAGAACCGAAUCAGCCGGUGCCUUGAUCUUGGACUUCUAGCCUCCAGACUCAGAAAUAAACUUCUGCUGUUUAA